rnacentral:rRNA from 2 species
GUAGGGCGGGACACGUGGUAUCCUGUCUGAAUAUGGGGGGACCAUCCUCCAAGGCUAAAUACUCCUGACUGACCGAUAGUGAACCAGUACCGUGAGGGAAAGGCGAAAAGAACCCCGGCGAGGGGAGUGAAAAAGAACCUGAAACCGUGUACGUACAAGCAGUGGGAGCACCUUCGUGGUGUGACUGCGUACCUUUUGUAUAAUGGGUCAGCGACUUAUAUUCUGUAGCAAGGUUAACCGUAUAGGGGAGCCGAAGGGAAACCGAGUCUUAACUGGGCGUUAAGUUGCAGGGUAUAGACCCGAAACCCGGUGAUCUAGCCAUGGGCAGGUUGAAGGUUGGGUAACACUAACUGGAGGACCGAACCGACUAAUGUUGAAAAAUUAGCGGAUGACUUGUGGCUGGGGGUGAAAGGCCAAUCAAACCGGGAGAUAGCUGGUUCUCCCCGAAAGCUAUUUAGGUAGCGCCUCGUGAACUCAUCUUCGGGGGUAGAGCACUGUUUCGGCUAGGGGGCCAUCCCGGCUUACCAACCCGAUGCAAACUACGAAUACCGAAGAAUGUUAUCACGGGAGACACACGGCGGGUGCUAACGUCCGUCGUGAAGAGGGAAACAACCCAGACCGCCAGCUAAGGUCCCAAAGUCAUGGUUAAGUGGGAAACGAUGUGGGAAGGCACAGACAGCCAGGAUGUUGGCUUAGAAGCAGCCAUCAUUUAAAGAAAGCGUAAUAGCUCACUGGUCGAGUCGGCCUGCGCGGAAGAUGUAACGGGGCUAAACCAUG